rnacentral:lncRNA from 1 species
CCGCCAGAUUUCUGUGUGCCCACUUGCCAGCCACGAUGUCCGGAUUCCUGUGGAAAGGGGAGGGUUGCUUAUGGAACCACAGAGAACAGUCCCGUGACAUUCGCGCACUUCCCUGAGGACACUGUGGAGCAGAAGGCAGAAAGCGUGGGCAGAAUUAUGCCUCACACGGAGGUGAGCCCCUGACCAAGACUCCAAAGUCCCACCUCCCGUCACCCAGCUGGGGUGCACCCAGCUGGGACAUCGGUUGCUUUCAGUGAGAGAGUCAAAUGGCUCACUCAGGAUGCCUAGAGCCCCCCAGCAGCAGGGGUGUGCUAGGCCUGGCCCGGAGUGUUCUCUGUGGGCUAAGCAUGAAAGGGGAAGAGCUGGAACAGUGGCUGUGAGCGGCUGCCAGCUGAACUUCUCCGCGGCCUCCCUUCCUGUCUGAGGUGUGUUUUUGCCAAGCCCACUGUCUGUUUCAGGGCAGCCAGGGUAGCCUCAAAGAGGAGCCAGAGCACAGAGAGUUUUCCUACACAGCUUCUUUUCCUCCAGUGGUGCUCGCCUCUCGCUUUAGCAGAGUUCU